rnacentral:rRNA from 1 species
UACGAAGGGGGCUAGCGUUGCUCGGAAUUACUGGGCGUAAAGCGCGUGUAGGCGGCUCUGCAAGUCGGAUGUGAAAGCCCUGGGCUCAACCUAGGAAGUGCACUCGAAACUGCAGAGCUUGAGUCUCGGAGAGGAUCGCGGAAUUCUCGGUGUAGAGGUGAAAUUCGUAGAUAUUCGGAAGAACACCAGUGGCGAAGGCGGCUCACUGGACUGGUAUUGACGCUGAGGUGCGAAAGCGUGGGGAGCAAACAGG